rnacentral:lncRNA from 1 species
UAGGCUACGCCGCGGCUGCAGAAGCAAUAAUGGUCAUCCUCCUCACCAUCCCUGGCCUCGACGCUCUCCGUAAGGGUCUAAUUGCCGUUACCAAGAACCUUCUCAAACCGUUUCUCUCGGUUGUUCCGUUUUGCCUCUUCCUUCUCAUGGACAUUUAUUGGAAAUACGAAACCAGGCCUAGUUGCGAAGGAGAUUCCUGCACUCCCACGGAACACCUUCGUCACCAGAAAUCGAUUAUGAAGAGUCAGCGUAACGCGCUUCUCAUCGCCGCCGCGCUUCUUUUCUACUGGCUUCUUUACUCCGUCACCAAUCUCGUUGUUAAGAUCGAUCACCUUAACCAGCGUCUCGAACGUCUCAAGAGGACCGAGUGAAUUCAAUUUCUCAGAUAAGUCUAUCGGAUUUGUGUUCCCUGCAGUUUUUUUUUGUUAUUAUGUUAGUAUAUGCAACAAUUUCGUUUCGUUUUUCUUUUGUUUAGAUCUAUGUUUGAAUGAUUAUAAGACGAUUAUUGAUUAAUCGUAGUUAUAUAUGUAAUUUCUGUGCUGUUUUGAAUUUUGGCGACUUACUUUGAUUGAGAGUUAGGGUUCAUUUUAGGGAUUUUCUCAUUGUUGCGAUAUUUGUGGUUUGGGAUCGAACCUUUAUUAGGUUUGAAUGAAUACACACACACCAUUGUUCGAUGUUAAUUGAAAUGGUUGCUUAACUUGUGAAUAAUUGUUACAAACGACACAGAUAAUGAUUUGAAAAGAUGGAAAUAGUUGAAUGUAACGAUGCGAUUGAGCCACCCCUUCAAUCUGAAUCUGAAUCUGAAUCUGAAUUGUUAGCAUUACAUUGAAUGCCCUGUCACUGUAUGGUUACCUAGUUAUAUGCCUGCCUUUUUUCUUUAUGUAGCAACUUAUCUUACACAUAUUCAAUGCGUGAGGGGUGAGGCAACUUGAAGAAUCUUGUUUUGUGCUGCUCGCGUCCUUUCUCCUUUGAAUAUCUUGCUAUUGCUUUUUCUUAAUUUAUCGUCAUUCUUUCAUGGAUAUGCAUAGUUUGUGAAUGUAAAUCAAACGAUAAAUCCCAAAAUAGCACACUCAUUUCACUAUUUCACCAUAUUAGCUGGGGCUACAUUCCUAUAUAUUGAUUUAAAUUGCUAAGGAAAAAAAAACUAUAGCGAAGGUAAUCUAACUUCGGUCUUCGUAUAAACUUAAAAUCAAAUUUAUUCGAUUAAGAUAGUUUGCAUUACAAAGGCCUAUGCAUGUUUUACAAUUUUAAUACAUUUUUCUACGAAGUGAAUAUCUCGCAGUAGUUAAAUACUCAAACUAAUGGAAGACAUAGAAAGCAAAUAUAAGUACUCCUUUUCGGUAGCAACAAAUUCGUAUUAUUUUAGUGUUUAAUACAACUAAGAACUCCUUUUCGAUCCGAAACAAAUCAAUCAAUCAUUGGCCACUCGGUCAAUUUAAACCUAAUGUUCUGAUCUUAUCUUCAGAAAUAGAUCUAAAAUUUGUCAAAAACCUUGCAUCUCCGUCGCAACAACUUAAGAACACAUUUUUAUUCCAUUGAUAAAACAGUAUGUAGUGGAGACAAUGUUGGUGGUUUUAGUCUCCUUUGGCAGGUAGUCAGAAUCACACGUGAAACUUCUCCAGAAUUAGCUAUUCUGCUCAUUUUUCAGAUUAUCAAUGUUGUCUGCACUUGAAUCAUUCAGUUUGCUUAGAAUCCAAUGCACACACGUUAAGGUUAUUAAAAAGAGGGAAUGAAAUUCCACCACAAAAGCAUUGAUUACUAAAAACCUGCAUCACAAGGGAGGAAUUACAGAUUCACAUUCCAAUCAAAGAGAGUUCCAACUUUUACGGAAAUCAAAUUCAAUACUCAUCAUGGCUGCUGUAAGCUCAACAAAAACUGAGGAGUAUAUACCAAUUCAAUCUCUAAAUAUGUCACCACAUUCCACAAGAAUAUUAACUUUCAUUCAGACACAAGGGGGAAUGCAUGCAAAUCAACUUGAGUAAUUAUGGAUAUGAUUCACAAAAGCUCCCUUAUUGUCUCAAGAGUAAGAUAUUAAUUGCACUUUUUUUUUUGCAUAACAGACUUAUCAAUUAAUUAAAAAAUUUAGAUUGAUUUCGACAGUACCAAAUGCACCAAGUAGCAUGAAUGGUGCCAGAUAUAAUGAUAUUUGUAACUUGCCACUCCAAUUCUUCUUCGGAGUAUUUAAUCAGGCAUCAAAUGAAGAAUGUAAUGUGCGUAGAUACUAAAUUUUGAGCUUUUUUUUUAAUCUAAUCGUUGAUAUUGCAGGUGAUUCUUAAUUUUACUUUGAAUUUUUGUUGAAAAUUUUGGAUUUAAAAUGAAAUGUUGGAAGAUGAAUGGGAGAAGACAAAGAUGUUAAGUUCUUCAAGAAAUUUAUUUAAUAAAAAAUUGAUUUAAAAGUAUUAUUAUUAUUUUUCUUCAUAAGAGACUAUUUAAAUUUACCAUGUUACAGGUAUCCAAUAGACAUACAUGGAUUCAAUUGGCACAUUUGUUAAGAAAAUUUAUUGAACCAACCGGAGUUAGGGCUAGCGAAAGAUGUUAGAUUUCUACAACUUAGUUAAUCGAAUUUUUUCUGUUAAAAUAGGUACCUACAUUCAAGGACAGUUUUAAAUUACUAAUUUAUAUUAUUUGUAAGUUCAAUUAUUAUGUUACAUGAUUGGUCGGCAAUUUUAAGACUUAUAUUAUUCUUUUUAUAUAUUUGAUAAAAAGAUGUUGAAUAAUUAAAUAUUUUUUAAAUGAGUAUUAUGAAGAAUUAGAUGUGAAAUUGUAUGAGAUGUAAGUGUUUAAAUAAUUCUUUAGGUACUUAUAUAUAGAUAUUUUUAUUGACUUUGAAAAUAAAAAAUCAUUCAAUUCAAUGAUUCAAAAUAUGAAAAUACAAACAAAAAAAAAAAACUCUUAGGAUGAUAUAUAGUUAUGGUUUAAAAAAUUACGCACAUUUUAUCUUUGGUAGAGAGAAUCUAUGGAGAAAAAAUCAUUGAAAAGUUAAAAUAUACAUGUAUUAUAACUUCAAAUAUUUAAAUAUUUAAGUACUUCAAAAAUACUUAGGUUCGUUUGAUGUACACAAUAUAAUAUGAUAUAAAGUUAGAUAAAGAUAAUAGGAUAAUGAUAAAAUAAACAUUAUCAUAUUUUGUAUUUGAUAUACACAUGAUAAUAAUAUUUUUUUUUUUGUCGUAUAUAUGAUGUACAUACCUCCUCAUGACAUAAUAUGAUAUAAUAUAUAUUAUAUUUAAAUAAUAAAAUUAUCAAUGUAAUUAAUUAUAUAUUAGUUUUUUUUAAAAUUUACUUGUAAUAUUUUAAAUAUUACAAAUUAACAAAAAAAAUUGUAAAAAAUUAAAUAAGUAAUGAAGUAACUUUAUAUUUAAAAUUAUGCGUUGACAUUACUAAAUAAACAAUUUAAAUUUUUUAAAAAAAUCAUAAGCAACCAAAUAAUUAUAUUUUAUUUGUUAGAAUGUAAAUAAUGAUAUAACAUAUAUUAUAUAUAUUAUAUGUAAAUAGCAAAAAUAUCCUUGUAAAUAAAUUAUAUUUAUUUUAAAAUUUUAAUUAAUUUUCAUAUUUUAUAAUUUUAAAUACUAGUUUAUUAAAUUAUAUAUAAAAAAACUAUCUUUAUAAUAAAAUCAUAAAUGUUUAUUAAAUUAAUUAUUAAUAUUUAAUUUUUAAAUUUAGUAUCAAAUUUUAUUAAUAAUUUUAUAUUUAUAUUUGAUUAUGUUUACAUUUUUAUAUUUUAUUAAUUAUUUAUAUUUUAUAUUUAUAUUUUAUUAUUUUUCAAUUUUAUAUUUACAAGAUAAUUAAAUAAAUUAUUAUUUUUUAUCUAUGUUAUAUUCAUAAUAUAAAUUUAAACUAAUGACAACGUCAUAUUGAUCCAUUAAAUAUUGAAUUUAGAGACAUAAUUUACUUCUAUUUUAUCCAUCAAAUAAGUCCUAUCGAUACUAUGGUAAAACUUAGAAGGAAUACAAAUGUAAAAAUACCGUAAUAUUUUUAGUCCAAUAUGUUUUACAAACAUUCUAAAGUAUUUUUUUAAGAAAAACUUUUGUAGCCGCAGUCUUACAAUUUGAGAUGUUUGAUAACGUGGCACAAGCUUAUUGGAGUUGCACACGUUUUCCUCAAAAACAUAAAGCUGAAUGAAUUUUAUGAAGUCAAGUCAACACCCUCCAAAUCCAAUUCAUAGCAUAGCAUAGCAUAGUUUCUUCCUCCCUUCCUCUAUUUCGUGUUUCUUUUUCCCCUUUCCUUACAACAAUCCCAGAUUUGUAAUUAUCAUCUUCUUUCAAUCCAACCCUUAUUCAUCAAUCAAUUUCUUCAACAACCCCCUUAUCAAAUCAUUUCAUUUAUCAAUCCUUCAAUUAGCAUUUCAGAUCUAUACUUCUUCAUAUAAUUAGGGUUUUUAGCUUGUAGAAGAAGCAAAUGGACGACGUGAAAGACAAGGUUAAAGGUUUAAUGAAAAAAGUCAACAACCCUUUCUCUUCCUCAACAUCUGGAAAAUUCAAGGGCCAAGGUAGAGUCUUGGGAUCAUCAUCAUCUUCUUCUUCUUCUUAUACACCUUCUAAUUCCAAUCCUACCCCUCGCCCUAAUCCAUCUCCCUCUCAGAACCCUAACCCUAAUUCCAAACCCAAACCUAAACCCACUUCACCGGUCGCUUCAGAUAAUAGCAGAAUCGACAAAGCUCGUAAACCUGGAGAUGGGUUUGACCCUUUUGAUUCUCUAGUCACUUCAUCGCAGAGAUCUCAAAAUGGGUAUUCACUUAAUGUAUAUGAAUGUCCAAUUUGUAAAAAACCCUUUAGAUCAGAAGAUGAGGUUUCUGAACACGUGGAUAAUUGUUUGAGUAACCCAACUGAGUCUAUUGAUGGUGAUGAAAAUUGUGUAUCAGAAUUGCAAGAGAGUGAAGUUGAGUCUAAUACUGAAUUGGAGAUUUUUAUUGGCACUUAUGUUUCAGGGAAACCAUCUGAAGGAUC